AAUUAUUGGGCGUAGAGGGCUCGCAGGCGGUUUUUUAAGUCCUGAUGUGAAAGCCCCCGGCUCAACCGGGGAGGGUCAUUGGAAACUGGGGAACUUGAGUGCAGAAGAGGAGAGUGGAAUUCCACGUGUAGCGGUGAAAUGCGUAGAGAUGUGGAGGAACACCAGUGGCGAAGGCGACUCUCUGGUCUGUAACUGACGCUGAGGAGCGAAAGCGUGGGGAGCGAACAGGAUUAGAUACCCUGGUAGUCCACGCCGUAAACGAUGAGUGCUAAGUGUUAGGGGGUUUCCGCCCCUUAGUGCUGCAGCUAACGCAUUAAGCACUCCGCCUGGGGAGUACGGUCGCAAGACUGAAACUCAAAGGAAUUGACGGGGGCCCGCACAAGCGGUGGAGCAUGUGGUUUAAUU
rnacentral:rRNA from 1 species